AGACCGAUAAACAGGUUUGGAGGCUAGGAGGAGCAGCGAAUACCACCCAGCUCCAGGGCAAUCCCUAGCAGUGCCAUCCUCUGCAGCUUCAACGUGGCAGACUGGUUGCUCUUCGUACUUACCAGAGGGUUGUUCACUCUUCUCUGUGGUGAGCGGAGUUAUGGAUGCCUGCUCAAAUAUUCAUCUUUCCUUAAAACUCCUUGGAAACUUUAGCUGUUUAUAAAAGUGUAACCUUUUUGAAAAUGUCCAAAGCAGAAGGAAGAAGAAAAUUUGGGGGAAAAUUUAAGUAUAUGCAAUACUUAAAUUCUGAUCUGUUCCACAGUUACUUCACUGCUUUAAGAACAUAAUAAUGAAUUGUGUGUAACUUAGCAUAUAAAAUUGUAUUUGUUAGUAUAGUGGUUGAUUUGGAGAGCAGAUGGGAUUCCAAAUGAGGCCGCUGGGUGAAAAGUAGGUAUAUCAACGGGACGAGGUCCACUAGGAGAACCAUUCACUAGGACAGUGGUGGCGAACCUAUGGCAUGCGUGCCACAGUGGGCAUGCAGAGCCCUCUCUUUCGGCACACAAGCCAAAUCACCUCAGCAUUGCUCCAGCAGCUGAGCAUCGGAUAACAGCGCACAUAGAGGCCAUGCGCAUGCUCAGAAAGGAGUAGCAGCACCAGGUGAUAAUGCCAUGAGCUGUGACUCAUUAGCCACGACUUGUCCGAGCUUUUGCAUGGCUGGUCAGUGCGCUGCCAAGGAUAUAUAUGCUUGGACUGGCUGUGCAUUUUAAUACAUUCGUUUUUAUUAACACAAGAUUUUAGCUUUGAGUUUUCGUAUGAAAAAUUGAAAUUUAAUAUCUAAGAUUUAGCAAAGAGAUGUUCUAAUUAACGUUGUGCUCUCCCCCUGGCAUAUUUGAAUCUGCAGCAUCAUAUUCAGGUUUUAUUGCAGUGUUGGCACUUUGCGAUAAAUAAGUGGGCUUUGGGUUGCAGUUUGGGCACUCGGUCUCUAAAAGGUUCGCCAUCACUGCACUGGGAGAUUGUAUAAUGCAGUUGCACCCGCACAACACAACAAAUGAUCCUCAGUAGUUACCAUGGUUUGCAGGAUUUUUUUGUUUUUUU
rnacentral:lncRNA from 1 species